CCUACGGGGGGCAGCAGCGGGGACUCUUGCGCAAUGGGCGAAAGCCUGACGCAGCAACGCCGCGUGAGUGAUGAAGGCCUUCGGGUUGUAAACCUCUGUCUUCAGGGACGAAAAAAAUGACGGUACCUGAGGAGGAAGCCCCGGCUAACUACGUGCCAGCAGCCGCGGUAAUACGGAGGGUGCGAGCGUUGUCCGGAUUUACUGGGCGUAAAGGGCGCGUAGGCGGGUUAUUAAGUCAGGUGGGAAAACCCCGGGCUCAACUUGGGGACUGCACCUGAUACUGAUGAUCUUGAGGGCAGGAGAGGAAAGCGGAAUUCCACGUGUAGCGGUGAAAUGCGUAGAGAUGUGGAGGAACACCAGUGGCGAAGGCGGCUUUCUGGUCUGUAACUGACGCUGAGGCGCGAAAGCGUGGGGAGCAAACAGGAUUAGAUACCCUUGUAGUC
rnacentral:rRNA from 1 species